AUCUAGCUGACGAGUCCCGAAUAGGAUGAAACGCGCGUUCUGGAU
rnacentral:hammerhead_ribozyme from 1 species